rnacentral:rRNA from 1 species
UACGUAGGGUGCGAGCGUUAAUCGGAAUUACUGGGCGUAAAGCGUGCGCAGGCGGCUUUGCAAGACAGAUGUGAAAUCCCCGGGCUCAACCUGGGAACUGCAUUUGUGACGGCAAGGCUAGAGUACGGCAGAGGGGGAUGGAAUUCCGCGUGUAGCAGUGAAAUGCGUAGAUAUGCGGAGGAACACCAAUGGCGAAGGCAAUCCCCUGGGCCUGUACUGACGCUCAUGCACGAAAGCGUGGGGAGCAAACAGG